CUACGGGGCGCUGCAGUGGGGGAUAUUGCACAAUGGGCGAAAGCCUGAUGCAGCAACGCCGCGUGAAGGAUGACGGAUUUCGGUCUGUAAACUUCUAUCAGCAGGGAAGAAAAUGACGGUACCUGACUAAGAAGCCCCGGCUAACUACGUGCCAGCAGCCGCGGUAAUACGUAGGGGGCAAGCGUUAUCCGGAAUUACUGGGUGUAAAGGGUACGUAGGCGGCUGAUCAAGUCAGAUGUGAAAGCCCGGAGCUCAACUCCGGGAUUGCAUUUGAAACUGGUCGGCUAGAGUGCAGGAGAGGAAAGUGGAAUUCCUAGUGUAGCGGUGAAAUGCGUAGAUAUUAGGAAGAACACCAGUGGCGAAGGCGGCUUUCUGGACUGUAACUGACGCUGAGGUACGAAAGCGUGGGGAGCGAACAGGAUUAGAUACCCGGGUAGUC
rnacentral:rRNA from 1 species